AUUGAACGCUGGCGGCAUGCCUUACACAUGCAAGUCGAACGGCAGCACGGGAGCAAUCCUGGUGGCGAGUGGCGAACGGGUGAGUAAUGUAUCGGAACGUACCUUUCAGUGGGGGAUAACGUAGCGAAAGUUACGCUAAUACCGCAUAUUCUGUGAGCAGGAAAGCAGGGGGUCGCAAGACCUUGCGCUGAUUGAGCGGCCGAUAUCAGAUUAGCUAGUUGGUGAGGUAAAGGCUCACCAAGGCGACGAUCUGUAGCGGGUCUGAGAGGAUGAUCCGCCACACUGGAACUGAGACACGGUCCAGACUCCUACGGGAGGCAGCAGUGGGGAAUUUUGGACAAUGGGCGCAAGCCUGAUCCAGCCAUGCCGCGUGAGUGAAGAAGGCCUCGGUUG
rnacentral:rRNA from 1 species